AACGAACGCUGGCGGCAGGCCUAACACAUGCAAGUCGAGCGAACCCUUCGGGGUUAGCGGCGGACGGGUUAGUAACGCGUGGGAAUAUACCCUUUGGUACGGAAUAGCCUCGGGGAAAACUGAGAGUAAGUACCGUAUGUGACCCUUCGGGGGAAAGAUUUAUCGCCAAAGGAUUAGCCCGCGUUGGAUUAGAUAGUUGGUGGGGUAAUGGCCUACCAAGUCUACGAUCCAUAGCUGGUUUGAGAGGAUGAUCAGCAACACUGGGACUGAGACACGGCCCAGACUCCUACGGGAGGCAGCAGUGGGGAAUCUUAGACAAUGGGGCGCAAGCCUGGAUCUAG
rnacentral:rRNA from 1 species